CAAGGCUUCUCGAUGCAACAAAUUUUAAGCCCCUGUCUCAUGUCCAUCGUCUGCUGGUGCUGCCAUGCCCGCACUGCUCCACCGUCACUAGCUUCCUAUCAGCGAAGCCUCACUAUCAUGGAACGGCCGGCCUAUCAAGCAACUCAGGUCCAGCCAAUGACCUCGCCUUCCGCAGGUAGCAAACCUCCACUUGGGAUCCAAUCUUAUGCCGACAUCUUCUUCUCUACUCGGAUCCCAUCUGCAGGUCAAUGGACCAUAUGUAACUAUGGAUAUGUUCCCAAUUUAUGCAAGUGCGUUACAGAGUAUUUGCUUGACUACUAUCUCAAUGGAUGUUUGAUCUUUUGUUUACUGAAUUUUCGACAUGAAGGAAAUUAAGCACAUCAGUACACACGUAUGGAUUUGAAGUAUGGUGUACUACUGAAUUUUAGUGCUGCCUGCUAAAGUCUGGUAUCCAUUUAUAUAUUUUAUUCAGCUAUGGAUGACAAGGUUUCUUCGUCUUUCAAUAUCCUAAACUCUUGAGAGAAAAGGAGAGGAUUUGUCAUUUGGCAACACAUGGAUUUACCUUACAUGGUCAUGGAGCUCGAGUUUGGUUAAUUAGCGCUGCAUUACAAAACUAUAGUUUGUAUUUAUGGGACGUCGUCUCCAGUUGGAAAGAUCUAAUUCCUAUUGACUAUGAGAGCAUGUGUUGUUGAUUCUUAUAUCGGACUAUCAUAACUCAAAUCAAUACUCGAGGUCUGUUAUGACUGUUGGAUUUCCGUUGUUGUUACUGCUAUUUGUCGAUUCUUCUCACCGUGAAAUGCUUAUGUAUCUAUAUAAUUUUGUGUGUGUCGUGUUCAUGUUCCUUCUUAUUUGGUUACAUGCUCUGUUUUAUUUUCAAGAUGACGAGCGUGCCCGAUAAUAAACAAGAAAUUCUUCCUUUCCCCUUCAUUGAUGGUGUAAUUGUAUAAAAUGCC